UACGUAGGGGGCAAGCGUUGUCCGGAUUUAUUGGGCGUAAAGAGCGUGUAGGCGGCCAGGUAGGUCUGCUGUGAAAACUCGAGGCUUAACCUCGAGCUGUACGGCGAAACCAUCUGGCUAGAGUCCGGAAGAGGAGAAUGGAAUUCCCGGUGUAGCGGUGAAAUGCGCAGAUAUCGGGAAGAACACCCGUGGUGAAGGCGGUUCUCUGGGACGGUACUGACGCUGAGACGCGAAAGCGUGGGGAGCGAACAGG
rnacentral:rRNA from 1 species